AGUGAACGCUGGCGGUAGGCCUAACACAUGCAAGUCGAACGGCAGCACAGUAAGAGCUGGCGCUGACGGGUGGGGAGUGGCGGACGGGGGAGGAAUACAUCGGAAUCUACUCUUGCGAGGGGGAGAACGUAGGGAAACUGACGCUAAUACCGCAGACGACCUACGGGUGAAAGGAGGGGAGCUUCGGACCCUGCGCGGUGGGAUGACGCGAUGUCGGGUUCGCUAGUUGGAGGGGUAAAGGCCGACCAAGGCGACGAUCCGUAGCUGGUCUGAGAGGAUGAUCCGCCACCCUGGCACUGAGACACGGUCCAGACUCCUGCGGUAGGCAGCAGUGCGGACUACUGCACGAAGGAGGCAAGCCUGAUCCAGCCCUACCGCCUGGGUGAAGAACGCGUUCUGGUUGUUGAGUGCUUUUGUUGGUAGGGAAGAGCAGCACGUUUAUCCCCGGCUGUAAUGACGGUACCGGAAGAAUAAGCCCCGGCUAACUUCGUG
rnacentral:rRNA from 1 species